rnacentral:rRNA from 1 species
UACGGAGGAUCCGAGCGUUAUCCGGAUUUAUUGGGUUUAAAGGGUGCGUAGGCGGCCUGUUAAGUCAGGGGUGAGAGACGGUAGCUCAACUAUCGCAGUGCCCUUGAUACUGAUGGGCUUGAAUGUACUAGAGGUAGGCGGAAUGUGACAAGUAGCGGUGAAAUGCAUAGAUAUGACACAGAACACCGAUUGCGAAGGCAGCUAGCUAGACCGACAUUGACGCUGAGGCACGAAAGCGUGGGGAGCAAACAGG